rnacentral:rRNA from 1 species
GGGGAAUAUUGGACAAUGGGCGAAAGCCUGAUCCAGCCAUGCCGCGUGUGUGAAGAAGGCCUUUUGGUUGUAAAGCACUUUAAGUGGGGAGGAAAAGCUUGUGGUUAAUACCAAUAAGCCCUGACGUUACCCACAGAAUAAGCACCGGCUAACUCUGUGCCAGCAGCCGCGGUAAUACAGAGGGUGCAAGCGUUAAUCGGAAUUACUGGGCGUAAAGCGCGCGUAGGUGGUUAUUUAAGUCAGAUGUGAAAGCCCCGGGCUUAACCUGGGAACUGCAUCUGAUACUGGAUAACUAGAGUAGGUGAGAGGGGAGUAGAAUUCCAGGUGUAGCGGUGAAAUGCGUAGAGAUCUGGAGGAAUACCGAUGGCGAAGGCAGCUCCCUGGCAUCAUACUGACACUGAGGUGCGAAAGCGUGGGUAGCAAACAGGAUUAGAUACCCUGGUAGUCCACGCCGUAAACGAUGUCUACCAGUCGUUGGGUCUUUUAAAGACUUAGUGACGCAGUUAACGCAAUAAGUAGACCGCCUGGGGAGUACGGCCGCAAGGUUA